AGAGUUUGAUCCUGGCUCAGGAUGAACGCUAGCGAUAGGCCUAACACAUGCAAGUCGAGGGGCAGCAUAGAGUAGCAAUACUUUGAUGGCGACCGGCGCACGGGUGAGUAACACGUAUGCAACCUACCUACAUCAGGGGAAUAACCCGGAGAAAUUCGGACUAAUACCGCAUAAUACAGGGAUGCCGCAUGGCAAUAUUUGUUAAAGAUUUAUCGGAUGUAGAUGGGCAUGCGUUCCAUUAGCUAGUUGGUAAGGUAACGGCUUACCAAGGCAACGAUGGAUAGGGGAACUGAGAGGUUUGUCCCCCACACUGGAACUGAGACACGGACCAGACUCCUACGGGAGGCAGCAGUGAGGAAUAUUGGUCAAUGGACGAGAGUCUGAACCAGCCAAAUCGCGUGAAGGAAGACUGCCCUACGGGUUGUAAACUUCUUUUGUACAGGAAUAAAAGACAUUACGUGUAAUGUAUUGCAUGUACUGUACGAAUAAGCAUCGGCUAACUCCGUGCCAGCAGCCGCGGUAAUACGGAGGAUGCGAGCGUUAUCCGGAUUUAUUGAGUUUAAAGGGUGCGCAGGCGGGAUUUUAAGUCAGCGGUGAAAUUUUCAGGCUCAACCUGAACACUGCCGUUGAAACUGGGAUUCUUGAGUAUGGAUGAAGUAGGCGGAAUUCGUUGUGUAGCCGGUGACAUGCUUAGAUAUAACGAGGGAACUCCCGAUUGCGUAGGCAGCUUACUAAGCCAUAACCUGNCGCUCAAGCACGAAAGCNUGGGGGAUCAAACAGGAUUAGAUACCCUGGUAGUCCACGCCGUUAACGAUGAUUACUAGUACGGUAAGGGANUAAGCGAAAGCNAUANGUAAUCCCACCNGGGGAGUNCGCCGGCAACGGUGAAACUCAAAGGAAUUGACGGGGGCCCGCACAAGCCGGAGGAACAUGUGGUUUAAUUCGAUGAUACGCGAGNAACCUUACCCGGGCUUGAAAUGUACCUGACCGUCCUUGAAAAGGGACUUCUAGCAAUAGCAGGUAUGUAGGUGCUGCAUGGUUGUCGUCAGCUCGUGCCGUGAGGUGUCGGCUUAAGUGCCAUAACGAGCGCAACCCACAUUAUUAGUUACUAACAGGUUAAGCUGAGGACUCUAAUAAGACUGCCGUCGUAAGAUGCGAGGAAGGUGUGGAUGACGUCAAAUCAGCACGGCCCUUACGUCCGGGGCGACACACGUGUUACAAUGGGAGGUACAAAGGGCUGCUACCUGGUGACAGGAUGCUAAUCCCCAAAGCCUCUCCCAGUUCGGAUCGGAGUCUGCAACUCGACUCCGUGAAGCUGGAUUCGCUAGUAAUCGCGCAUCAGCCAUGGCGCGGUGAAUACGUUCCCGGGCCUUGUACACACCGCCCGUCAAGCCAUGGGAGCCGGGGGUAUCUGAAGUGCGUAACCGCAAGGAGCGUCCUAGGGUAAAACUGGUGACUGGGGCUAAGUCGUAACAAGGUAGCC
rnacentral:rRNA from 1 species